rnacentral:rRNA from 1 species
CGUAGGGGUGCAAGCGUUAUCCGGAAUUAUUGGGCGUAAAGAGCUCGUAGGCGGUCUGUCGCGUCUGCUGUGAAAACCCGAGGCUCAACCUCGGGCCUGCAGUGGGUACGGGCAGACUAGAGUGCGGUAGGGGAGAUUGGAAUUCCUGGUGUAGCGGUGGAAUGCGCAGAUAUCAGGAGGAACACCGAUGGCGAAGGCAGAUCUCUGGGCCGUAACUGACGCUGAGGAGCGAAAGCGUGGGGAGCGAACAGGAUUAGACUACCCUGGUAGUCCACGCCGUAAACGUUGGGAACUAGAUGUGGGGGCCAUUCCACGGCUUCCGUGUCGCAGCUAACGCAUUAAGUUCCCCGCCUGGGGAGUACGGCCGCAAGGCUA